rnacentral:tRNA from 1 species
GCCUGGCUGGCUCAGUCGGUAGAGCACGCGGCUCUUGGUCUCGGGGUCGUGAGUUCGAGCCCCACGCAGGGCG